rnacentral:rRNA from 1 species
UGACGGGACCGCACAAGCGGUGGAUGAUGUGGAUUAAUUCGAUGCAACGACGAAAACCUUAACCCACCUUUGACAUGGCAGGAAUCCCGAAGAGAUUGGGAGUGCUCGAAAGAGAACCUGCACACAGGUGCUGCAUGGCUGUCGUCAGCUCGUGUCGUGAGAUGUUGGGCUAAGUCCCGCAACGAGCGCAACCCUUGCCAUUAGUUGCUACGAAAGGGCACUCUAAUGGGACUGCCGGUGACAAACCGGAGGAAGGUGGGGAUGACGUCAAGUCCUCAUGGCCCUUAUAGGUGGGGCUACACACGUCAUACAAUGGCCGGUACAGAGGGUAGCCAACCCGCGAGGGGGAGCCAAUCCCACAAAGCCGGUCGUAGUCCGGAUCGCAGUCUGCAACUCGACUGCGUGAAGUCGGAAUCGCUAGUAAUCGCGGAUCAGCAUGUCGCGGUGAAUACGUUCCCGGGUCUU